rnacentral:rRNA from 1 species
GACGAACGCUGGCGGCGUGCUUAACACAUGCAAGUCGAACGGAGCGAAUGAAAGCUUGCUUUUAUAAGCUUAGUGGCAAACGGGUGAGUAACACGUAGGCAACCUGCCGACAGGAUGGGGACAACAUUCCGAAAGGAAUGCUAAUACCGAAUGAAGUCGAGGGAGGGCAUCCUCCUCCGAUGAAAGAUGGCCUCUAUAUAUAAGCUAUCACCUGUCGAUGGGCCUGCGUCUGAUUAGCUGGUAGGUGAGGUAACGGCUCACCUAGGCGACGAUCAGUAGCCGGUCUGAGAGGAUGAACGGCCACAUUGGGACUGAGACACGGCCCAGACUCCUACGGGAGGCAGCAGUGGGGAAUCUUCCGCAAUGGGCGCAAGCCUGACGGAGCAACGCCGCGUGAGUGAAGAAGGUCUUCGGAUCGUAAAGCUCUGUUGAUGGGGACGAACGUGCCUAAUGCGAAUAGUAUUAGGU